GUUAUGUUCUUUGUGGAGACAAAUGAGAGAAGCUCUACUAGGAAGGAUUUUAUUUCCACAUCUGACACAUGUAGGGACCAAUGAAAGAAGCUCUACUAGGGAGGACUUCAUUUUCACAUAUGUCAACACAAAAGGACUGUUACUCUACAACUGAAGAAAUGAUUUCUGCUACUUUGAAGACAUCGAUUGGUUAAUUCACUCUCUAUCAAGGUUUGUUAAGGGAACCAGACCAUAUAUGUUCCCUGUUCUAUGUUGGCUAGAGCAUCUUGGGAGAGAGGUGAAGAUCCUUGACAAGGAUCUGAUAUUGGUUAAACUUCACUCAUUUCCUCACCUGCAGAAUUUUCUUCUUCAAGCUAUGUCUCUUAACUGUUAUCUCCAUUUUUUUGUUUGCCCCAGGUAUGCAUUAGAUGAUAUUGGUUCUGGAUCUCAUGUGCAUCUCAGUUUGUGUCAGAGUUGAACCCAUAUGAAUAUGUAGUUUGGUACUAACAGAGAAGUAUGCAUUUUUACCAGUUCUGUUAAAAUAUCUUGUCUACAUAGAAUUAUUUUUUAAGCAUGCAAUUAUAUUUGGAAAUUUGAUGGGUGUACUAUUGGUCUUGAGGAAAACCUUUCACGGUGAUGUUUCCAUCGAUGGGUGUACCAAUUUGUAAUUAUUCAGGCUAUGUGGUUUCUGCUUUUAAGACCAAUAAGCUUUAUUGAUCCUUAUUUGUUUUAUAGUUGUUAGUGAGUUAUAUGUUGAUAUCAUAUGAUUUUGAUUGUCCAUAUAAUACUCUAUUUUAUCAUUUAUGUGAUCCUUGCUGCAUUGUUGCAUAUUGUCUUCUUUUGUGGUGUUGUUUUACUGAUAUUUGUGUGGAGAAUCAAAAUAAUUAUGUCAUUUUUGGUGGCUGUGGGGAAAGGAUUGGGGGUAGUUUAACAACUGGAUAAAUUACAUUAUUUUUGGUGUGAUCUAAAUGUAAGUUUAUAAAUUAAUUAGUAAGUUUAUUCAUAUGCUUCUGGCGGUUUUUAAAUUAAUUUGUUUUUUUAUUUUUCAG